GGAAUAAAUCAAUCCGAAGGAUAAAAAAGUGGCCCAAGCCAAAAGUGACUUCGGUUCCGGCUAAAAAUGUAGGCUACUCUUGACGACAGGUUGUUUUGCUUUAGACAAGAUUCUGGUAAUGGCAGCUGCGGGUGUUCAGCUUUCGGUGGGUCAGGCGGUGCGGUUCCGACACCAUUCGAAAACAAAAUCAAAGUCGGCAACUUGCAGUGAAACAUUACAACCCAAUCGGAUAUCCACUUCUGAAACUCAUCAGCUGGGUGCUGUUCGGGAAUUUGCGACGCAGAAAUAGCCCCAUUCCAUGCCUUUUCAACAUUAGUCGGGAUAGUACCUAUCUGAAGAAGUUGGCCGCUUAAAAACUUCCGGUGCACCAAUGAAAGCCAAUGUAACGGGGGUCUGUCCAAGUCUAAAAACGGGAAGCUAAACAUGGGCAAGGAUCUAAGUAGAUCGUGGGUCUCGCCAUGGUUUUCCUAGGAAAAGGGCAAGUACUACGAUGAACAUUUCGCUACUUCCAUUACGGAAAUUACAGUUCUGUUGAUAGUUUUUUUUUUCAAUUUUUGAAUUUCAUAACUUUUUAGUUUGUGGAUAUUUCAAACAUUCUAUGAAGGAUAAAUAAUUAUCCCAUGAAAUUUGGCGUUUCUUUGAUGUUUCUGUGUGACUUUAGAUAUAUUACCAAAAAAUGUCAUUUUCUUAUUUAAAUUCACUCAAGCCUAAAUUUCUCAAAAAUCACGCAAUACCUAAGUCAAAAUUCUACAGAGCAAUUCUUAGAAGAUAAAACUAUCAUGUGGUACAAUUUUUGAGCAUUCGCCGAAAAAUGCAAUUUCAAUAUA